rnacentral:rRNA from 1 species
AUGUGCGUAAUUAAUCUGCUAUCAUUCUGCACCGGCGAGCUCGAGGUCCACGCCGAACAGCCGGAGGCGCCGCCCGCGCGGUGCCCUGUCUUGGUCCAACGUCGCCUGCUGCGGAAGCGCCACUGGAACGAGGAGGCAUGUCGUCGGCGCCGAGACGACCCCGGCCCCACGCCUCCGGCAGUCGAUGAAGAGGCGCGCGCCGGCGCGGCAGAAGGAGACGGUGUCGCCGGCGGCAAGACGGCGGUCGCGGACGAAGGCGCUCCACCCUUUCGUGAUGACGUAGCUCUGGCUGCUGCUCCAGUAGGAGAAGCGGAACGCCCACGCCUUCCCGCCGCCGCGGCCGUCCUCGAACCGCAGCACGGCUCCGGGGCAGGCCGCCCCCGCCGCGCCGCCGGGGACCCGCGGGAGGAGGUGCCGCUCCGCGAAGUGCUUGGGCACCACCAGCCGGUUCAGCUUCCCCACGUCGCUCGGCGUCACCACCUUGUCGAACAUGUCCUCCCGCAUGAUCAUCCUCCCCUCGCCGCCACCAUUGCCAUUGCCACCAUUGCCGCCGCCACCGCCUUCCUGAUCUUGCUCCGCUCCCCGUCUCCCCAGCGCGGCCGUCAACGCCAUUGA